rnacentral:rRNA from 1 species
UAGGGAAUCUUCCGCAAUGGGCGAAAGCUUGACGGAGCAACGCCGCGUGAGUGAUGAAGGUCUUCGGAUCGUAAAACUCUGUUAUUAGGGAAGAACAAAUGUGUAAGUAACUAUGCACGUCUUGACGGUACCUAAUCAGAAAGCCACGGCUAACUACGUGCCAGCAGCCGCGGUAAUACGUAGGUGGCAAGCGUUAUCCGGAAUUAUUGGGCGUAAAGCGCGCGUAGGCGGUUUUUUAAGUCUGAUGUGAAAGCCCACGGCUCAACCGUGGAGGGUGGUUGGAAACUGGAAAACUUGAGUGCAGAAGAGGAAAGUGGAAUUCCAUGUGUAGCGGUAAAAUGCGCAGAGAUAUGGAGAAACACCAGUGGCGAAGGCGAAUUUCUGGUAUGUAACUGACACUGAAGUGCGAAAGCGUGGGGAUCAAACAGG